rnacentral:rRNA from 1 species
UACGGAGGGGGCGAGCGUUGUUCGGAAUUACUGGGCGUAAAGGGCGCGUAGGCGGCCUUCUAAGUCGAACGUGAAAUCCCCGGGCUCAACCCGGGAACUGCGUCCGAUACUGGAAGGCUUGAAUCCGGGAGAGGGAUGUGGAAUUCCAGGUGUAGCGGUGAAAUGCGUAGAUAUCUGGAGGAACACCGGUGGCGAAGGCGACAUCCUGGACCGGUAUUGACGCUGAGGCGCGAAAGCCAGGGGAGCAAACGGG